GGGCAAAGCCGGUACCUCUCAGCUGAGCUGCUUACUGUCUGUAGCUCCUUUCCUCUCUUCCUCCCUCUCACUAGCUAAUUAAGGCUAGCGUGCACACAGUCGCACUGGUUCAGGAGCAGGCUAAUCUCCUGUAGGUUCAGGUGCAGGCUAAUUUCCUGUAGGUUCAGGUGCAGGCUAAGUUCCUGUAGGUGUCUCUCUCUCUCUGUCUGUGGGUUAUUGGCUCAUCUCUCACCCUUCUGCUGUAGCUCAGAGCUGGGCCGCUCUCAGCCAGGGCUCCUGACCCCAGAACCCAGGGCAGGUGUGUGUACCCAGCAGACCCCAAACUGGCUCUGCCCUCUCAGCUGGCCCACAUUAGCCCUGUGCCAACUGGCUCUGUGCUGUCAGCUAGCCCACAUUAGUCCUGUGCCAACUGGCUCUGUGCUGUCAGCUAGCCCACAAUAGCCCUGUGCUAACUGGCUCUGUGCUGUCAGCUAGCCCACAUUAGCCCUGUGCUAACUGGCUCUGUGCUGUCAGCUAGCCCACAUUAGCCCUGUGCUAACUGGCUCUGCACUUUCAGUUAGCCCACAUUAGCCCUGUGCUAACUGGCUUUCUGCUGUCAGCUAGCCCACAUUAGCCCUGUGCUAACGGGCUCUGUGCUCUCAGCUAGCCCACAUUAGCCCUGUGCUAACGGUCUCUGUGCUCUCAGCUAGCCCACAUUAGCCCUGUGCUAACGGUCUCUGUGCUCUCAGCUAGCCCACAUUAGCCCUGUGCUAACGGGCUCUGUGCUCUCAGCUAGCCCACAUUAGCCUGGUGCUAACUCAUUGCCCCUCUUCUACCAGCUGGACACAAUAGGGUGUGUCAGGUCACCAAGGCCCCCCCCAAUUUGCCCUUCUCUCUCUCCCUCUCGUUUGUUGUCUUUGGUGGAAUGCGCUCAUCUCUCGGCUUUUUUAACACUCUCCCCUUCUUCCUUCCCUUCCUCCUUCUCUCCCUCCCUCCUUCCCUCUCUCCCUCCUCUCACUGCUGUUCUUUU